GACAGAGGGAGCCCGACUCCCGUGCCUCUGGCAUGAGGAAAGUCCCCCCACCGGCCGGACAGGCGACCGGGCACACGCCCGGAGUCGGAGACGGCUGGCUCUGGAACAGCAACGACACCCCCCGCCCCGACCGAUGAUUCGCGCGAACCGACCCGCAAGGGAAGGGAGCUAACCCGAGGAGGGCCGACGGGCGGGAACGGAUGGAACGGCGAAUCCUCGCCGGUGCAAGUCCGCGCCACAAGGUAGUCCGGCCACGGCGCGGACGCUCAGCCGAAUGUCGGGACGAACCGAAGGGGGCUUACUCCCCUCAGUC
rnacentral:RNase_P_RNA from 1 species